GACUGAGAUGAGCUCAGCUGGUUAGAGCAUGGUGCUAAUAACAUCAAGGUUGGGGUUUAAAUCCCUGUAUGGCCA